rnacentral:tRNA from 1 species
GGAGCUGGAGCUCAGUGGUAAAGUACUUGCCUAGCAUGUGCAAGGCCCUGGGUUCAAUCCCCAGUAGCACCU